rnacentral:rRNA from 1 species
CACCUGACCCCAUGCCGAACUCAGAAGUGAAACGCCGUAGCGCCGAUGGUAGUGUGGGGUCUCCCCAUGCAAGAGUAGGGAACUGCCAGGC